CUGGGAAGUCGGCAGUCAGGUGCAAGGAGCACUAAAAAUACAGACUUGCCCCCACGCCCCUGCCAUUGGUCCUUGUAAGGGCAUAAAGCUGUCUUUGGUUUGCAGUUCACAGAACUGAGAAGGCAGUCUCUGUUGGACGUGUUUUCCAUGUUAAUGUUUCAGAUCCUCAGUUUGAUAGGAAUGUUGGGAUGGAACUGCCGGGAAAGUCUUGCAAAGCUGGAAACACCAGAGAAGAGUCGAGUCUUGUUCAUAGGAGAUGCUCCCAAAGACUCCCAAGAUAGCCAUCUCAGACCCACUUAAAAUCUGCUGGCGACUCUGGUCAUUUUGAAGCGUGUGUUUUGAAAGUGUGAGCUUUCCGACGGCUGCGCUCUGGGAACAACAGACGAGGAGGCACACGUUUCCUCAUCUGUGAAAUGGAGAUAAAGAUGCAUCCUUUAAGAUACUGUGAAGAUUCAAUGACUUGAAAAUAUCAGCUAUUGCUGCCUUUAUUGUUCCCCAUCCCCACACAGCUAACCUCUACCGUCCUUGCCUUUCCACUGGCCUGUGUUGCUGAAGACCCAGGGCAUUGGGCUAGAAUUUAGUUAGUCUGGAACCGGCCUGUAUAAGAGCUCACAGAAGCUGCAUCCUCAUCCUUCUCUCCACUUGGAACCGAUGUGCCCAGGAAUUCUAAAUUGCCAACGUUAGGGGAUCAGAUGGUACAAAUUAAACAGCCACCAAUAACCCCCAGCUUCGACAUUCAGAUUGUGCCAAACCUUUGCAAUUAUAAACACAAAGAGCAGCGACAAUUAGCAGAAUAAGAAUCAGAAAAUUUAAAAGGCUGAGAAACUGAAUAUAUGAACAGACAGUGGCCAGACCUUGUAUGACAAUAGGACUCUGACCCACAACCUCUGGAGAAAUAUGCUCAGGACUCAGUUGAUGACUGCCAACUUUCCAUUCUGUGCGCCCCCUUCCAACUCAGGACCAGCCAGAGAAAGCCAAAUAUGCUCCCCAACCAACCACAUAAGAUGCCCUUCUUCUAGUUAGCCCGACUCCAGCUGCCCCAUGCCAACAGCCUCCCGUUAAAGCAUCCUUUGUUCCCACUGUAAAGAUUCCCCAACACCAUGCCUGCCUUUGGUUCUCUACCAAAUGCGAAUGAUGGUGAGCAACUCCUUGCCAUAGAAGGCUCUGAAUAAAGCGCCUC
rnacentral:lncRNA from 1 species